AUGGCAUUGUGUGAAUAAUCGUUGCCGAAAGCGUCCUCUUUCACAGCAUAGUUGAAGUCAAAGGGCAUGCCAGAAUUUGUCUUCGCAUCCUCACGAAGUUAUCGACGGCGAAUGGUCGGAGAAAGGUACGCACGGUCUAGAUUGUUCAGCGAAUCCUUAUUGUGUCCAGCCUCGCUCAUUCCUGAUCACUCAAUGCGCAUUCAGCAAGAGCAGGUCAGAGCAGGGCACAGUGCAAAGAUUACCUCAAGUCUUCGCCGUGAUGAUGGUGAAUGUGGCACGAUUAAUUAAAGCAAGCAUGCUCGUGCGCGCAUGACAGCAGGUGCACGAAGAGAAAUUACACUUUUUCUUCGUAUUAUUAUCUACAUUUCCGUCUUUCACGAAAAACCGCAGUUCCACAAAAAGCUUCAUGGAAAGUUGUUUACGCAAUUAAACGCCUAAAGGAAAAAGCUUAAAGCAAUAUACUUGGGCGCCUUCUCUUGAUAGAGGAUAUACGAAACAAAACGCAUCUCAAACUGCAGUAACCCGAAAGGUGAAGUGAACAAGUGGAAGUCAAGGACCUUGCACAAUUUCAUUACAGACAAUAAAGUAAUAUAACUUUAUAAUAUCGAAGAUAUUCCUCUUGUUCAAUAAAUAACUUCUUCGGUAUUUUGUCGGCGUUUUGCGAAGACCGAGAUGUUCUUUCUCGCGAGGCAACUUCGACAGCCGCACUUUAAAGAUCAAGGUUUGUCGAAUCGGAUUCCAUCUGAUUUCGAAGUGCGUGGCAUUAACACCUCACUUCUGGAUCGAGUGGUUGCGCCCUUCUAAAUGGACCGCAUUCUUCUUUUUCUCCUUAGCCAUGGCAUGAGAGCGAUAUAUUUCUCAUCUGCUGCUCGUCCUUCCCUUUCUCGUUCGCACACGUAUUGUUCGAAGACAUUCGUGACAUUUCAUUCUCUUUGAUCUUAAAGUCUGAGUACCAAGAUCGCGCCGUUGGUCGUAGGUUAUCGGAGCUGCAACUUUGCCGCAUUAUAAACAUUGCUCGCAUUGUAAACGUUACAUUAAAUACGCGAUUAAUAUUUCUUCAAAAAUGUUUACCUUCAUAUUUCAUAUGUUCAUUUUGU